rnacentral:tRNA from 1 species
GGGCGGUUAGUUCAGUUGGUUAGAACGCUUCCUUGACAUGGAAGAGGUGAGAGGUUCGACUCCUCUACCGCCCACCA